rnacentral:lncRNA from 1 species
UGGUGAUUAUGGCCAGGAAACGUAGUACGAAGGGGAUGAUCGUGGGCCUGCAAGCAAGCAAGUGUACGAGUAAACUCGAUCAUCCCCCAAAUUGGCAGUGUACACCACAAUCAGUUCCAGCAUCAAGAAGAACAACUCCCGCUGCCGCAUGACCAGAACUCGGCUUCACAGAUCCAUUAGAAUUUAAGCACGUCCAUCCAUUAUCCGGGGACCAUUCAAUA